GUCUUGGUAGCUCGAACGGCAGAGCACUGGACUAGCGAUCCAGUGGGCGUGGGUUCAAGUCCCAUCCAAUACA